CAUGCAUUGGGUUCUUCUGCUGCAGCUUAGGGAAGAAGUCAACAUUUUGAACUACUGCUUCCAGAACCUCCUAUCCAACAGCAUGGAGAGAUGCCUUUUUUGGACUUUUGCUGCCACAAACUUUGCUGACUGAGGUCGUGAUGGGAGCAAUAGUCCAAAAAAUAACCCUUUCCCUGUCUCUCUGCCUAUGUCCAGAUCAGGAGACUGCUCCCUCUCCACUUUACGCACCUCCUUUCUCCCCCUCCCUUCACUUCCUGCAUGCUGUUAACCUGGCAUUUUCCACGCAAAAAGCACCGUGGCUAGUUCUCCGGGUUAAUCUCCCAUCGAGAGGCGCUUUCCCCCCGAACUCAUUGGCGGGCAAAGAACUGCUGAAUAACUCUUCCCUUGAAAACGGAAGAGCGACAAAGAGUUGGAGGGUUCCAAACUUUGGUGUCCACAAUAAUUUCGCCUUCCUUUGAAGCACCGAGGAAGCGGCAAUCCCAGGAAGGAAAGGCUGAAUUGAGGCAAAGGGACUGUGUCCUGUUUUCCAAGGUGGGGAUGAUGGGUUUGCUGGAGGCAUGCGGCUGAAGGCGGGAUGGAGUCCAUUUCCUGAAGCAGGGAGCAGAAGCAGGAGAAGGAGGAAGAGAAGGAGAAGGCAGCGAUGGGGCAGCGGUUGGGCACCAAGGCGCUGCUCCUCCUCACUUUGGGGUAUCUGCUCAGGUCUCUGACUGCAGAAGCUCAGUGUCAAAAUAUUUACCAGGAAUUCUCAGACUGCAUCUUAAAACUGGGAGAAAAUAUGGCCAGCUAUGAGGAGGAAGAGGAGGAAGGAGAGGAAAAGACCCCGGUGCAAGGACUGCAUGUUGUUUGUGGAUAUUGGGAUGAGUUUCAUACUUGCGCCAUGACUGCCCUUUGGGAGUGUCAGAGGGAGGCAGUAACGAUCUGGGAGAUGUUAAAAAAGGAAUCAACAAAGAUCAAAUUUCAAGGCAGCCUUUUCGACCUCUGCACACCUAGUGACUCCCAGAAUCUCAGCUCAGUACAGAUUCCAACUCCAUCAAUAUUAAGCAUCACUCUUAUGGUCACGUGGCUUAACUUAUAAAACGAGCAGUUCUGCAACUGUGUACGGAUGUACAUGUUUUUCUCCUUCUGAAUCUUGGCUCCAUGAAGGUUCCACCUAUGUUAUUUUUAAGCAUCACUCUUAUGGUCACUUUGGUUAAAAGGAGCACCUCUGCAAUUGUAUUCAGAUGUACAUAGUUUUGUUUCUAAGUUUCCUUCUAAAUACUGUUAAAGUUGUUUGUUUAGUGAAUGGACACAUUUCCUAAUCUUUAGUUUGUCCAGUUAUCUGGGUUAUAAAUAGGAAGUGCGGUAGGCUCAGUUCAAUCUUGGCCACUUUAAGAUGUUAAAUUGAAGAUUUAACCAACUGAAAUAUAGUUUGUAUGGUACAAGCUGGCACCAUUGCCUUCCACAACUUAAUCUGCCAGUUUGGAUAUGCUCUGGUGAAACUACCCUCAUGCUGACUCUUUCUUCCCAUAUCUAUAAAACCUUAACAAAACACACUUGUGUGAAAAUAUACUGGACACCAUAUUUGAACAGAAAACAUAGGAGAUAGUAGCAAACCACCUGAAAUCUUUGAUGCCAGAAGUGCUGGAUUUCCCCAGAGAAACAAACUCUGAAGAUGCUUGCCAUAGAUGCAAGCAAAAUAUCAGGAGAUAAUACCUCUAGAACAUGGCCAUAUAACCCGAAAAAACCUACAACAAUCCAAACUCACACAAUGUUUCAGACCCAAUAAAUAUUUACUGUUGGAUCUAUAUGGCUGCAUUUCCAUGCUAAUCUGGAUACAGACUGCUUUUAUUGAUCUGUACAGUUGCAUUUGAACACAUGAUCACAGAAAUUCCAUGAUCCAAAUAACUGUAUGCUGUAAAAGGGUAAACUACAUUGCAUUAUAGCUUCAGAUGGAUAUCACUAAAAGAUGCCUGAUGCAAAGAUGGCAUCUCAGGUCUACCUGUAAAAUGGAACAUUUGCACUUGAGUCUACCUGCAUUUAUGAAGAAGCUUUUCUUCCUGACAACCAAUGUUGUUCUUUCCUACAUUUCUGAGGGAUUAUAUGCUGGUGAUCUUGAAACUGAAGACGAUAUUCAAAGAGAGAAAGGUUGUUUUGCAAUUUUGUGGUGAUGUGCAUCUGCUGGAAGGAGCAGAAGAGAUGCUGAAUGAAAUAUUUGCAAUCAGACUCUGGAACAGAAGCAGCUGUUGUGGAAACACAUUCUGGGAGCAACUCCUCAAGCGCUGACAGCCGCCUGCUAUUUACAUGCUCUGUGGAUCUAUCAAAGCAGAAGAAAACUGCUCAAAACACAAAGAGAAGUGGGCUUCAUGAGAUAAAGAUGGUGGCAAGCGGAUCUAUGGAACAAUCGGAUACAUUUGACUGAAUGUAAGCCCCACUGAUGUACAUGCUUUUACUGAUAGGCAAUUUGGGUCAUACUUAUUACUUGUCUUUAGAAAAAAUAAAGAACAGAUGGUCACUAGAGUUUGAAGAACAAAAUAGCAAAAAAGAAUAUACAUUUGUCUUAUAUAAUAAUAAUAAAUAUUAUACUGGCAGCCUCCAAGUUACAAACAUCUGUCUUACAAAUUACUCAUAGUUAAGAACAGGAGUGAGAUAACAGGUGAUAGAAAUCUAACCCGAGGAAGGGAAAAUCACUCCUCCUAUCAUGGGGGGAAAAGUGUCUCCACUGAAGCUUUCUCACCAAUCCUUGUUUCCACAAGAAGUCAGAUUUUUCAAAAUUCAAUUAUCACAGGGACAGAAAGUAAGGUGAAAUCUUCUGAACAGGGGCACUGUCAGCAAAACAAACACCACAGGGGUAUUAACCCUUCCCUAUGCUAUACAAAGCUUUUAUACACACACACUUGAGUGGAGUGACACUUUUUAAAAAUACCUGUUUCAACUUACAUACAUACACAACUUAAGAACAAACCUACAGAACCCAUGUUGUUUGUAACUUGGGGACUGACUGUAUAUUAGUUCUAUGCAUUUUAGUGUCUUCAUUUACCCUUCUUAUGGCUGCCCUUGAAGAGAAUUAAGAAAUCGCAGCUAGAGCAAAAAUAAAGCAGCGAGAGCCCUUUGUAUAUGCUUCAUAGACCAUAACACAAUGUUCUUCUGCCAACUAUAUCAGCUUCCAAUUCAUUUCAAGUCUAAUUCAAGGCCGUAACUCUUAUUUGUUAAGUUCCUAAUGGUGGGGAGUCAAGAUGUGUGAAUACCUUCCGCUUCCAUGUGAAUCUCUCCCUAAUAUACAGUCUUUUUCAAAGGCCCU